rnacentral:rRNA from 1 species
UACGUAGGGGGCAAGCGUUGUCCGGAAUCAUUGGGCGUAAAGAGCGUGUAGGCGGUUCGGUAAGUCCGCUGUGAAAGUCGGGGGCUCAACCCUCGAAUGCCGGUGGAUACUGUCGGGCUAGAGUGCGGAAGAGGCGAGUGGAAUUCCUGGUGUAGCGGUGAAAUGCGCAGAUAUCAGGAGGAACACCAAUUGCGAAGGCAGCUCGCUAGGACGUAACUGACGCUGAGACGCGAAAGCGUGGGGAGCAAACAGG